GACGAACGCUGGCGGCGUGCUUAACACAUGCAAGUCGAACGGAAAGGCCCUGCUUUUGUGGGGUGCUCGAGAGGCGAACGGGUGAGUAACACGUGAGUAACCUGCCCUUGACUUUGGGAUAACUUCAGGAAACUGGGGCUAAUACCGGAUAGGAGCUCCUGCUGCAUGGUGGGGGUUGGAAAGUUUCGGCGGUUGGGGAUGGACUCGCGGCUUAUCAGCUUGUUGGUGGGGUAGUGGCUUACCAAGGCUUUGACGGGUAGCCGGCCUGAGAGGGUGACCGGCCACAUUGGGACUGAGGUACGGCCCAGACUCCUACGGGAGGCAGCAGUGGGGAAUAUUGCACAAUGGGCGGAAGCCUGAUGCAGCAACGCCGCGUGCGGGAUGACGGCCUUCGGGUUGUAAACCGCUUUCGCCUGUGACGAAGCGUGAGUGACGGUAAUGGGUAAAGAAGCACCGGCUAACUACGUG
rnacentral:rRNA from 1 species